rnacentral:lncRNA from 1 species
GACAGUUUCGCAAUUUGUCUGAUUGUCAGCUGAAGUGCCUUUUGAUUUUGAUAGAUUGAGGCCAUCGACACAAAAGGCUAUUGCUCUGGCUGCUGAGGUCAAGACUCUGCAGAAAGAAAAGGAACAUUUGAGGAUAAAUCUCCAUAAAGCUGAAGAUGAGGUAAGUAGAUUUAUAGAGGGAGAAAAAGCGUUUGAUCUCUUGUCGAUUAUGUAAAUUGAGAAUACAUGAUAAUUUUCUGAUAUGUAGGUGCAGGUGUUGUUCGAAGAAAACCGUGUUUUGGAUAAGGAGAAUAAAAGGCUGAUAAGGCUAUACCAGAAAGAGAAGAACACACCUAGUUCUGUUGGAAAACCUUCUUCUGGCAAGGUGAACUUCUAAGAGUUUCUUUUGGGCUUUUAGCCUGAUCUUUUGUUUCCUCUCGAUGCGUUAUUAGACGCAGCCGUUCAUAACUUAAUAUUUCUGUUUAUCUUUAAUUGUUC